rnacentral:tRNA from 1 species
GCCUGGGUAGCUCAAAGGUAGAGCAGCGGCCUUAUAAACCGUCCCGCAAGGGUCCGCUAGAUAAGCGGCAGGUUGCCGGUUCGAAUCCGGCCCCAGGCACCA